rnacentral:rRNA from 2 species
AGGGCACGGGCGGCGUGCCUAUACAUGCAGUCGAACGAGUUUUGGUCGAUGAACGGUGCUUGCACUGUGAUUCAACUUAAAACGAGUGGCGGACGGGUGAGUAACACGUGGGUAACCUGCCCUUAAGUGGGGGAUAACAUUUGGAAACAGAUGCUAAUACCGCAUAAAUCCAAGAACCGCAUGGUUCUUGGCUGAAAGAUGGCGCAAGCUAUCGCUUUUGGAUGGACCCGCGGCGUAUUAGCUAGUUGGUGAGGUAACGGCUCACCAAGGCGAUGAUACGUAGCCGAACUGAGAGGUUGAUCGGCCACAUUGGGACUGAGACACGGCCCAAACUCCUACGGGAGGCAGCAGUAGGGAAUCUUCCACAAUGGACGCAAGUCUGAUGGAGCAACGCCGCGUGAGUGAAGAAGGCUUUCGGGUCGUAAAACUCUGUUGUUGGAGAAGAAUGGUCGGCAGAGUAACUGUUGUCGGCGUGACGGUAUCCAACCAGAAAGCCACGGCUAACUACGUGCCAGCAGCCGCGGUAAUACGUAGGUGGCAAGCGUUAUCCGGAUUUAUUGGGCGUAAAGCGAGCGCAGGCGGUUUUUUAAGUCUGAUGUGAAAGCCCUCGGCUUAACCGAGGAAGCGCAUCGGAAACUGGGAAACUUGAGUGCAGAAGAGGACAGUGGAACUCCAUGUGUAGCGGUGAAAUGCGUAGAUAUAUGGAAGAACACCAGUGGCGAAGGCGGCUGUCUGGUCUGUAACUGACGCUGAGGCUCGAAAGCAUGGGUAGCGAACAGGAUUAGAUACCCUGGUAGUCCAUGCCGUAAACGAUGAAUGCUAGGUGUUGGAAGGGUUUCCGCCCUUCAGUGCCGCAGCUAACGCAUUAAGCAUUCCGCCUGGGGAGUACGACCGCAAGGUUGAAACUCAAAGGAAUUGACGGGGGCCCGCACAAGCGGUGGAGCAUGUGGUUUAAUUCGAAGCAACGCGAAGAACCUUACCAGGUCUUGACAUCUUUUGAUCACCUGAGAGAUCAGGUUUCCCCUUCGGGGGCAAAAUGACAGGUGGUGCAUGGUUGUCCUCAGCUCCUGUCCUGGAAAUGUUGGGGUUAAGUCCCCGCAACGAGCGCCAACCCUUAUGACUAGUUGCCAGCAUUAAGUUGGGCACUCUAGUAAGACUGCCGGUGACAAACCCGGAGGAAGGGGGGGGGG